CGUGGCGAACGGCUGAGGAACACGUGGGUAACCUGCCCCAGAGUGGGGGAUACCCGUCGAAAGACGGGACAAUCCCGCAUACGCUCUUUGGAGGAAAGCCAUACGGCGCUCUGGGAGGGGCCUGCGGCCCAUCAGGUAGUUGGUGUGGUAACGGCGCACCAAGCCAAUGACGGGUACCCGGUCUGAGAGGACGACCGGGCAGACUGGGACUGCGACACGGCCCAGACUCCUACGGGAGGCAGCAGCAAGGAAUUUUCCCCAAUGGGCGCAAGCCUGAGGGAGCAACGCCGCGUGGAGGACGACGGCCUUCGGGUUGUAAACUCCUUUCGGGUGGGACGAGCCUGACGGUACCACCAGAAGCAGCCCCGGCUAACUCUGUGCCAGCAGCCGCGGUAAGACAGAGGGGGCAAGCGUUGUCCGGAGUUACUGGGCGUAAAGGGCGCGCAGGCGGUGGGCUGCGUCGGCGCUGAAAGCGCCCCGCUUAACGGGGCGAGGUGCGCCGAUACGAGUUCACUCGAGGCAAGCAGAGGGUGGCGGAAUUCCGGGUGGAGCGGUGAAAUGCGUAGAGAUCCGGAGGAACGCCGGUGGGGAAGCCGGCCACCUGGGCUUGACCUGACGCUGCGGCGCGACAGCGUGGGGAGCAAACCGGAUUAGAUACCCGGGUAGUCCACGCCGUAAACGAUGCCGGCUCGGCGUCUGGCGCACGUUAGGGUGCUGGGUGCCUUAGCUCACGCGGUAAGCCGGCCGCCUGGGGACUACGAGCGCAAGCUUAAAACUCAAAGGAAUUGACGGGGGCCCGCACAAGCAGCGGAACGUGUGGUUUAAUUCGACGCA
rnacentral:rRNA from 1 species